rnacentral:lncRNA from 1 species
GGGGAGGGAAAGGGGAGGGGGUCUCCUGCGUCCCUCCCUUCCUCCUCCCUCCCCCACCCCGCGAAGCCACCUGACCCGUCUCCAAGUUGUCGGGCCGUGGUGCGCAGGGCCUUUGUGCGCACGGAGGCAGCCGCCUGGAACCUGGAGCCCUGAGCGGCCUGGCUGCGCAGCCUCCCCACGCCCUUCACUCCGAGCGGGGAGUCCCCUGCCCCCAUCUGCGGAGCUGGCAAAUAAAUAAACCCUCAAACAAAUUCUCGUGUGCUGGGGAGGAGCGGCGGUGUGGGCAGCGCUGGAGAGAAGGCUCGGGUGCAGCGAGGCUGGGCCCACGGUGCGGGGCGACUGGAGCACAACCUGAGCCGGGCCUGCCAGCAGUAAGUUGACUCUUAUGAAACCUUCAGAGGCUCCCAGGCCACCAAGAAGGUCCCCAGUGGGCUGAGGCAGAAGGGCGGACGGGGCGGAGGCUGGAGGUAGGCUCUCUUUCCCACCGGGCACCCCGGUUGACUCCACCCCCACGCCCAGGGCAGCUCUUCCUCCCUCGGGCCAGGGUGGGGGCUGCCAGUCACUGGGAAUGCAAGGGGUGAGCCUCGGACCCCAUCGGUGCUCAGGACUCGGAGAGGUAAAAAUGGCAAGAGGAAAUGCCCUCAGGCUGCCCUGGGGAUGGCAAAAAGCAAAGGGGCGCAACCAGGCUGCCUGCGAUGCUUGUGCAGAGGCCUCCGUGGUGGAGCAAGUCAGAGGGGAGGGGGCGCAAGGGUUGGGACAGGUCUGAGGGGCAGCACCCUCCCCCAGCCCUGGGGGAGCCAGCCCUGGGGGAGGAAAGGGGACUCGGAAAAGGUUUAGCAUCUGUAAACCUGAGGAUCCGUGCCCCCUAGAAUGCAAACAAGCUCUAGGGAGCUGGAGGCCGGAGCCGCCAAGAACCCAUCCAGGAAGCCAAGGGUGGGGGCAGGCAUCUACCCUCCCGGCCCCACCUGGGCCUCAACUCUUCCUGGGAGAGGACGGACGAAAAGUCUGGAGGCAAGGCCGGAGAAGUCGAGACGGGUUCAGGGUUCAGCUUUAACACCAUGGACAGCGGAUCCCACUGCUGUGGGGAGCAGCAUCAGGCUGAGGGUGGGUGUCCAGCGCCACAGGGCCGGCAGAGGCAGAGGGAGACGCAGUCUCUGAUGAAGCUGAAACUGCCAGCUGCCCAGCGUCCUUCACUGUCCACCCCGGCCAGUGAGAGCGCCCGUCGCGAGCUGUGAGCCCCAAAGGUCUGGGGAGGUUUCCUGAGUGUGAUGCACUGGGGGUAUGCGUGGGGGGGUGGGUGCGUGCCUGCCUUGGGAGAGAGAAGGGUCGGUAAAGGGUGAAGGAAUGAGGGCCAGCCCAAACGGUCAGGCUGAAGCUGCACCGAGGGGGAGGGGCAACCUGGCUGGUGGAGGACAAGCAGGUUUGGGGCAGAGCCACCCUGAGUCCCAACACCCUUCCCAGUUGGCUCUCCUUGCCCCGCAGUGCUGGAGAGGCUGAGAGGGAAGGAAGCAGGAUGGCACACCCAGGGCAGUGGGGUCAGUAGGUUCUGCUCUAAGGCAGAUGGCGCAGGGGCUGGGCUGGCCUGGAGGGAAGGAGAGGGGCAGAGGCCUGCGGCCCACCCUAGGCCUGCAGCUCCCGCACGCUCUGCACCGCAACAAAGACCCAUGGGGGAGGCAUGAGGCGGUGUGACUUAGGAAAGCCGCUGAUCCUUGGCCCUAGAGAGACAGAUCAGGGUCAGCCCUCCGAAGGACCCUAAGGGGAGGGCACUCGCCCCGCAGUCAGCCCAUGAGGUGUCUGUCGCCUGCGCUUCCGUGGUCUCUGGGGGCAAGAACUCCCCCCGCCUCGCCCCAGUCAGGACACAGUGAGAAAAGGGAGCCGUCUUUGACGAGGGGUCGCUGUCUCUCUCCUCCGCAUAACCACCCAGCAAGGCCUGUGCCCCGUGGGCGCUGUGCUCCCUCCGCAAGUCCCUUCCCUUCCUCCGGGGGCUGGAGGGGCUGCUGGGAAAUGACGGCGGGAACCUGCGGUGAAGGUCUGAGUUCAGAGGAGCGUCUGCGGGCGCGGCUGGCUGUGUGCGGUCGAGGCGUGGCUGGUGGGUGUCAGUGUGUGCCCAGAGCGGCUGUGGCCGGCGGGCUGCAGGAGGAGCACCCGCGUGGGCGCGGGCGGGGUUGGAGCGUGUGAGAGAGAGAGGUGUUUCCUUGGUCAUCCGUGUGGCCACAGGGCGCCGGGCACGGUCCAGGAUGCUCGAGGGCGGCGUCCAUGCAGCGGCGUGUGGGGCCCGCGGGCACCGAGGAGAAGGCGGGAACGGGCAACGCUGGGGAGCGGAGGCGGAGACGGCGGCGGCCGAGGAGCGGCAGGCGUCGGCGGCAGCUCCCGCCCGGGACGGGUAACUGCGCUCGGGGCCGGGCCGGGGCGAAUCCAGUGAGCGGCCUCUCCGGGUCUCGCCGUCUUUCUCCCCGCCAACAGCUCGAACCUUCUCGCCGGGCCCCGGCGCGCGGGGUGGGCGAGCUCGCUGGGCUGUAAAAAGAGACUGGUUUCAUCUCUGAGCAUCGAGAUUCUUUCUUUUAACCGCAUCCGUAGCGCACUCGUGGGUCCGGCGGGGAGGGGAGCGCAGCGCGGGGAGGGCGGCGGCGGAGAAGCUCGCGCUGGCCUGUCGGAGCGGGCUCUGCACCUCUCGCGGCCCGCGGGAGGCAGCUAGGCGCGCACACGCUCGCUCGCCUCCUCGCCGCGAUUCCGCGGGGCGCCAGUCACCCAGGACGCCCCGAGGGGCUUGCUUGGGGCCCCCUCCCUGCUGCGGAAGGGGGAGAAGAGUGGGCUCCUCAGAGUUGGGGGCGGAUCCGGGCUGGAGUCCGAGGAAGCACCGUCGGCGUGGCGCAGCGCCCCCGCC